rnacentral:pre_miRNA from 1 species
UCUUAUGGAUGAGCAAAGAAAGUAGUUUCUUGAAGUGAAAUCUACUCCUGGUGAAGACACUUUGAA